rnacentral:rRNA from 1 species
UAUUUUGACUGUGCAAAGGUAGCAUAAUCAUUAGUUUCUUAAUUAGGAACUUGUAUGAAUGGUUGGAUGAGAAAUAAUCUGUCUUUAAUUUAUUUUUAUUGAGAAAUUUAUUUUUAAGUAAAAAAGCUUAAAUUUUUAUUAUAGACGAGAAGACCCUAUAGAGUUUAAUAGAAAUUUAUUUUGGAAUUUUUAAGAAUUAAUUUUUCUAUUUUUUAUUUCUAUUUUGUUGGGGUGAUGGAAAAAUUAUUUAACUUUUUUU